CUGUAAACACAGAUUCAAGAAAAAUCUUUGUGGUAAUAAAACCAUUGAUUUUCUGAGAGAAUGUGUUACAGCAUGAAGUCUUGCUGUGGUCAGUUAAGGUCAGCAGGUUAUUUCUUUACAAUUAAUGUCAUUCACAGAAUAGUUCUCCAGUUCUCCAAUCUUGGCCUUUAAGGUUUUUUUACACUUUCCCUAUUUCCUCUUUAUCUCUGAAAUUACUCGAUUGAUUUGCUUUUAAUUUUAAAAGCUAUUCCCCACCACCAUCCACAUCAUUUAGCCUGAGGGCCAUAACUCUCAUGCCAGUAUUUCAUUAAUUUUCCCUCCUCUUCACUUCGAAGUCAUUAACAUUUCUUCAAUCUUGAUUUUCAGCAAUAAAAUGAGCAGGUUUCAAAAGUUGGCCUUUGGCAGUCUAAACUUAAAAUGACUUGGAACAGUCAAUCUAACCAAAACAUUGCAGCUAGUACGUCAAAGCCACAGUCCACUUCCGGUGGAACUAAUGGGUCUUUCUAGCCCAAUGCAAAUUUUUGAAUAUCAACUCUUUGAUAAUGAAGAGAAUAUACUGUUGUUGCCUGGAAAACUCGACCAUGCUUAGAGAAAAAGUGCCGGAACGGGUUCGCCCUCCUACAGCUAUUCAAGCCUUCAAAUUAUAUCGCGAGAUUUCUCGAUAAAAUGUGACUUCACAUAAAAGCGACUGUGCACAUAUUUUCAUUGACUGCUGAAAACUGCUUUUGAAAUGUACAACUUGCCAGUUUUCAUCUUCAUUGUAAAAGACCCAUAGUUAAAUAUCAAGAUCAUCUUGCGAGACUUCACAAGACAUUAUAACGUUAUGAAUGUGAAAGAGUUUAUAUUGACAGUCAACAAUGAUAAUGUCUAGGCUGCCUUUAUUGCUCCCAACUAAAAUGUGGAAUUUAUAUUUUGAAAUGAACAUCGGUGUGGUUUCCAAAUGUAAUGAGAAUGCAUUUCCAUUCAAGGCAUGUUUGUAAACAGCUUUAACAAAAAAUGAGACCUUAAAGACAAGUGUGUUUUGUUUUUGUAAAACGUAAAUUCUAAAUCACAUAUCAUUCUAAUUUGACUAGCAAUGCUUAAGCGAUUCAUGUUUUAUUUGCCAAUCUUAUUCCAUCGUUCAUUCCGCAUGAACACUGAAAACACUUUCACUUCUUAUUUUACAUUAUAUUUCCUUUCCAUCUGUAUACAAGAUUGAACUAUAAGUGGUAAAUAUUUGGUUGUAUUUCACAUUAAAAUCAGCUAUUCUGUUCACCAGAAGGAACAACCUAGACAUCAUCUAAGGAAGGUUCUCCCUGACUAUACGCAGAUUUCUUUCUACUGUUCAUACGAAGUGAAUGUCAUAAUUUUCAUUCUGAAACGAGCAGCCAAUGCUUAAAUCAUACCUUUAAAUUACCCUUUCACUAUCCAUAGCAGUGGCAGGGGAUUUAGCUGUCUUUCAGACUGCCUUGUUUUCAUUCUGAAACGAGCAGCCAGUGCUUAAAUCAUAAUGAUGCUUGAAACAAUCCGAAUUCUUGAUAUUAAAGUGUUUAUGUAAAAAGAUGUUCUAAAACUGAGCCUGUAUAAUUUUAAUUACAUUGAAGUGCUAUCAGAAGCGGCAAGCAGACAUAUUUUUUUAGGAUAGCAUAAAGGCUUUGGUGUAAAGUAUUGAAUCUAGAAGUUACAUUUAUAUCAAACAUUUCUUUAUAUUAUGUAAUUGAUAUCUGUUAUGAAUAUGCAGUAUAAAAUGUUUCUUGACAUAAUUUAUCCUCUUAAAUAAAGAACAACAUUCAUUACAAGCAGCUUUCAGUAGAACAUCAAAAAAAAACGUCAGAACAACGUCAAACAUUUUCAGAUUGCAGAAAUAGGUAGCGACGAAGUUCGCCAUAUAUUUGUUAUUGUAACUUGGCUCGUUUUUCUUGCAAAUUAAACAAACAAGAAGCUAAA